GAUAAGUUUAGGCUUGUGAUCAACCAGUCAGUUGGAUCCUGUAGAGAGAAGUAAUACCCGAAGGUUGGAGUUGUCUAUCCGCUGUUUGCUAUUAAAGGUUACCUCUUUUAUAUUAAAGUACGUUAUAUAUUUAUGCAUUGUCUUUUGAUAUUACCUCUUAUUUGUAGCUAUAUGUGGGAUUUGACUUCUAAAACUCACAUAUGGUGCAUAUCUGAUUUUGUCCUUAAAAUCGGGUAUUACAUCUUUCUUCUGGUAACCUUGCGGGAGGGAGUAUUGAUAUACCUUGGGUUAUUGCUACCGAUUAUUAACCUCACUCCAGUUCAGAUUUUACCGGUAGGGCUGGGUCGCAGGGACGACAGCCGCAGGUUGCCACAAUAUUCUGUAGUAGUAGUGUUUAUGAUCUGUCAACUGACAGAUGAGUCUAAGGUGCAGAAUUUACUAAUGUGUAGAGACAUUUGCGAAUGUGUAUAUGGGGGUCAAUAUGGUUUUACACAUAUAACGAAGAACUUGAUGAAGUAGUAACAUUUAGCAAUUAAUUAAUAUAACUCAAUGUCAUAAUGUGCACUGUCUACUGCUAAUAUAUGGAUGCAACCCAAUUAAUCGAAAGGUCGACAUAAAUAGUUUCUAAAUGAAAAAUACACAAUAGACAUAUAGAAAUAAAGCUGAAACUUUAGCUAAGGUUGCAAAUUUCACUACGGGAGACAGACGCUUUGAAGGCUCAAAUACACUCGGCAAAGCCUUUGCCGAGUGCCACACUCGGCAAAGAGCACACGGCAAAAUUUUGGCCGGCAAAGGGGUCUUUACCGAGUGUUUUUUAUCGAGCACUCGGCAAAGAUAAAAAUAAAAAAAUAAAAAAAUAAUAAUUUUUUUAGGGAAGGGCUGCCAUCAGCUAGCACCCGUCUAAAGUUGAGCAUGCAGCCCGCGGGCCGAAGGCACGGCCCAAAGCACGGUGAUUUGGCCUGGCCCGAGCACGGCACGGCUCGAUCCUAACCAGGACCGGCCCGGCCCGAAGCACGUAACGGGCCGUGCUUGGGCGAACCCCUUGGCCCCCUGGGUGGCACGGCCCGGCCCGCUUUUAACAGCAGGCACGGUGUCGGCCCGAUAUCAGGAAAUUUGUGAAACUUGAAGUAUCGUUAUGUGACUUGUCAAACUCGUAAUUUUUGAUAAGUCAAAUACGAUCUUUGAAUAUAUUGUGUUAUGUGAAUUGUGAAAUAUUAAUGUCUACGAAUUGAAUGUGAUUUACUUAUGCUUUGUUAAAUUGUAUAUUAAAUUUGGUGUUUUUCAUAUAGCGGACCAUGGGCCGGCCCGAAGCACUAUUGGGCCUCAUGCUUUUUGGGCUGGCCCGACCCGAAAAUCAGCCCACGGGCCGUGCCUGGGCCGUUAGGCAGGCACGGUGACCUAUGGAGGCACGGCCCGGUGGCACGUGGGCCAUACGGGCCCGUGCCCUAUCGAGCCAUGCCUAGCACGGGCCAUGCCGUGCCGGGCCGGGCUGGGCCGGCCCGUUGAUCUUCUUUACACCCGCCGCAGCGCCCUCCACUUUUUUUUCAACAUUUUUCCACAAGCACCCUUCACCUUUUUUUUUCAACAUUUUCUACAAAAUUCACAAAUACGCCAUAGGCAGUACUCGAAUGCGACCUCGAGCUCACACAGCUCAUGUAACACCCAAAGUUUUAUUUCUUUUAAAAUAGAUGAAUUGAAUUUAAAUGAAUUUAUUUUGUGAGCAUUUUCAAUAUAGGAAAAUAAAUAAAUUUGGAGAAAUUAAAAUUUAAUAAUUUUAGAAUAAUAAUUUUUGUUGCAUGCAUGCUGGUGCACUUCUUUUAUGUGAUGAGUGGUUUUGAACAAAGGAAUUUGAAUUCAAAAAUUCAAUUGGAAAAUAGUUUGAAAAAUUUGUUUGGAAAAUAAAAAGGAAAAAGCUUUCUCUCUCCCCCUUCCUUCUUUUCGGCCAUUUUGGCCCAAACCCCGCGCCCCUUCUUGGGCCGCAGCCCAGCCGAUUUCCCCCCUUCCCCCUCUCCCUCUCUGGCGGCUGACGGGUGGGGCCCACCCGUCAGGUUCAUCCCCUUCCCCAACCGUCGCCCCCGAAUCUCUCUCUCUCUCUGCUGAUCUGCCAAGCCGAAGCCCGCUCCCAAGUUCUCCCCUCCCCGCGCCUGGAUAAGUAGUGGGCUGCGAGCCGCACGUCUCCUUCUCCUCCCCAGUUCCCCUCUCCUCGCUUCUGCUCCCGUCCGUGCACGCGCAGAGAGAAACCGUCGCUGGAGUUUUCCGCCCGCCGCGCGAAACCGCCGUCCCGAGCCGUUUUCGCUCCGAAUUAGCGCCGUGGUGAGCUUCCUCUCCCUUCCCGCUCUCUCCCCAUCCAGUUCCCGAGCAAAACGGGGUCUCCAAUCACCCCGGCCGCGCUCGCCGGAGAAGCUUUCCGCCGCCGGCCAUGGCGCGGCAGCUCGGACGCUUCCCGGGUCGUUCCGAGGCUGGGAGCGUGAUCCCCUCGCCCUCCUCUGUCUCCCAGCGGUUUCGGUUUGGAAAACCGCCCGCCGUAGCCUCUGUUGGGAGUGCGCCGGCGAGCUCGGGCCGGCAAGCAAUGGCGCCCGCCGCCUCCUGCUUCAGCUCCAGCCGGCGCGCCACCUCCUCUCUCCCUCUGUUUCUUUCCUUUAAUCUCGGCCGUCCGUUCGCGAUUUGAUGGCCGAGAAGAGCUCAUACCCCCUUCGCGGGUCAGUUUUGCUAAAGAGUCCCCCUAAAAUUUUGAUUUUGUGCCCGCAGUCCUCGGCCGGGAGAAUUCCAGGAAUUUCUGUAUUUAUUUAAAUUCGUUUAAACUCUGCCUUAUUUACAGAAUUGCCACCGCAUUGUUUCAGCUAUAAAAUCAUCGUUUGAACUCCGAAUCGAUCCGUUCAAGUUGCGUUAGUUUCGUAACUUUGUAAGCUUCAUGUUGGUACCACUGUUGUUUAGGUUUACCACUGUUAGAUUUCCUAGUUAAUUAUAAGUCCGUAGAUUGCUGUUGAAAUCCCGUUAAAAGCGUAACUUUCGCGUCGUAAGUCCGUUUUUCGUAAAUUUCGCGUUGACGUGAUCGUAGCAGCACGUAGAUGAUUUUGGAAAACUUUUAUUUAACUUAUUUACUGCUAGUGUACUGUUCUAACUUUAGGAAUUAUUCUCUUGCAUGUUUGUCUUGGUAUGCGUGAUGAUUGUGAUGUAUUGAUCGAGGCCAGACGGUGCGGAGUAUUUCGGGAGUCCGGAGCUCUUUGGGGACCAGCAGGACCAGCAAGACCAGCAGGAGUACGUGAACCAAGGCAAGUAUAGCAUGAGCCUACCUUGUUGUCCUACUUAUUUUUAAGCAUUUCACCCUGCAUGUGUAUAAUAUUGCAAACUAUAAGGACAUCCUAGUUGUUGAUGACAAUUACCUUGUUCCCGAGGGUUUUUAUUGCAUAUGGGUAGAAGUGCUAGUGCUCUAACUCCAAUUAUAUAUGAUCUGAAAGCAGUGAUGGAACCAUGGUUAAUUGAUUAAACAUAAUUAUGAUAAAUGGAACAUAGGGCUAUGGUACAAAUGACCGUUCGUCAUGUUGUCCCAGACCCUCCGUAAGGACUUAUCUGUCGGCAAAAGCUGGGACUUACAGUGCAACCGGGAGAGUCACAUGGCUCUGACUUUAGCUCAGUAAUAGGAUCUUUUCUAACUCGUUAGAGGUUACCCGAAAGGGCGCAAGAGGGGCUUGCCACUUUGGGUGUAGUGCUGCCCUUGUUUCUAUGAGUAUAGCCGCGAUGGAAAUGCGCCAUAGAAAAGGGGGGUUUUCUACAUCUGCCUGCCGAGGAAACCUCGCGGCUCUAACUGGUUAGAAUAGGCCUAUGGAAGGCUUCAUAGUGUACCCUGCCCGCUCACCUUGGUAGUGUUUGGGGGUCGAUGGACCCCGAGCAUAUGGGCAACACGACUCACGGUGAAAGUGCACAACCUCUGCAGAGUGUAUAACAGUUAUAACAGCCGUGCUCACGGUCACGAGCGGCUCGGAAAACACACAGAAUAACUGGUUACUAUUGGCUUUAUCGAAUAUGAUGAUGUACAAUUUUGCUUUAAUGUGACUUAAUGACUUACUAUGGUUCUGAUGACUGAUCAUAUGGGAUACUUGGGAGCUUAAGCAUAACCUAAUAAUAAUUAAUGAUAAAAUGUUGACCUACUAAAAUACUGAUGCUAACCUAGAUUAGCCUGUUUGAGCCUCAUAAAUCCUCAUGCUAUGCUUGUGGAGUACGAGAUGUACUCACGCUUGUAUACUUCUUUUCUUUGGAUAAAAAUCCCGGAUGGGUAACAGAUGGUGGUAGCUAUGAGGACUACCCGGAGGACUAUUAGGCUUGUGCCUCACCAGUCGACCUUCCCUGUGUGAGGGCCAUGAGAUAGUUAUCUUAGAUUAUCUUAUUUAUAUUUCCGCUGUUGUACCAGACUUUGUGAUGUAAUAACUGCGUUUGUUGUAAACACUGCGAUGAUGAUAUUUAAUUUGUGGCUUAUGCGUGUGAUUGAUCUCUGGGCGCACAUAA
rnacentral:lncRNA from 1 species